rnacentral:rRNA from 1 species
UACGGGGGGAGCAAGCGUUGUUCGGAUUUACUGGGCGUAAAGGGCGGGUAGGCGGCCACCGCAAGUCGACUGUGAAAUCUCCGGGCUUAACCCGGAAAGGUCAGCCGAUACUGCGGGGCUAGAGUGCAGAAGGGGCAACUGGAAUUCUCGGUGUAGCGGUGAAGUGCGUAGAUAUCGAGAGGAACACCUGCGGCGAAGGCGGGUUGCUGGGCUGACACUGACGCUGAACUGCGAAAGCUAGGGGAGCGAACGGG